UACGUAGGGUGCGAGCGUUGUCCGGAAUUACUGGGCGUAAAGAGCUCGUAGGCGGUUUGUCGCGUCUGCUGUGAAAACGCGAGGCUCAACCUCGCGCCUGCAGUGGGUACGGGCAGACUAGAGUGCGGUAGGGGAGAUUGGAAUUCCUGGUGUAGCGGUGGAAUGCGCAGAUAUCAGGAGGAACACCGAUGGCGAAGGCAGAUCUCUGGGCCGUAACUGACGCUGAGGAGCGAAAGCGUGGGGAGCGAACAGG
rnacentral:rRNA from 1 species